rnacentral:rRNA from 1 species
CCUACGGGUGGCUGCAGUGGGGAAUAUUGCACAAUGGGGGAAACCCUGAGGCAGCAACACCGCGUGAGCGAUGAAGGCCUUCGGGGCGUAAAGCUCUGUCCUAAGGGAAGAAUACUGACGGUACGUUAGGAGGAAGCCCCGGCUAGCUACGUGCCAGCAGGCGCAGUAAUAGGUAGGGGGCUAGGGUUAUCCGGAAUUACUGGGCGUAAAGGUUGCGUAGGCGGCCCUUCAAGUCAGAGGUGAAAGGCUACGGCUGAACCGGAGUAAGGCUUUGAUACUGUAGGGCUUGAGUGCAUGCGAGGAGAGUGGAAUAGCCCGUGUGACGGUGAGAUGCGUAGAUAUUGGGAGUAUUACCAGUUGCGAUGGCGGCUCUCUGGACUGUAACUGCCGCUGGGGACCGAACGCGUGGGGAGCGAACAGGAUUCGAUACCCUUGUAGCC